rnacentral:rRNA from 1 species
GACAGAGGGUGCAAACGUUGUUCGGAAUUACUGGGCGUAAAGCGCGUGUAGGCGGCUCUGCAAGUCAGGUGUGAAAUCCCACGGCUCAACCAUGGAAGUGCACUUGAAACUGCAGGGCUAGAGUCCUGGAGAGGAAGGUGGAAUGCUUGGUGUAGAGGUGAAAUUCGUAGAUAUCAAGCGGAACACCGGUGGCGAAGGCGGCCUUCUGGACAGUGACUGACGCUGAGACGCGAAAGCAUGGGGAGCGAACAGG